rnacentral:lncRNA from 13 species
CCUACCCAACAGCCCUAAGUCUGUUUCCAGGCGGAGGAUGAAGGGCAAGAGGACAAGGGCAAGACAAGACAGGCUUGAAAAUGUGCCCAAGGCUAUCUGCCUCCCGGCUUUGAGAGAAAAGGGCUUUAGUUCUUCCCGACCUGUGAAGUCUGCAUUCCCGAAUUGUGCCCUCCCCCGAGUUCUGGCUGGGAGGCUUCUCUCCCCAUUUAAGUUGUUACAAAGUUCAGCUAGAGAAUUCCUUCGCCCUGUGGAGUUUUACCCGCUGCUCCUCUGGCCACCUUCCAGUUGGAUCGCCGUGGUACCAGGCAGGAAUGGGCUGUAUGGGGAACCAGCGAGCUCCCAGGGCCUUUCUGCUGCUUCCUCUACCCCUGUAUUUCGCUCAGCUUGGCUCUCUAACUUGACUCAGCUCCAGAUCCUUUCCACAAUGUGAAUAUUUCCUGCAAUGGCUAGCCAAGAUUCUUCUACCAGUCAAAACUAAGCGCAAGAUGACCACAUUUUUUAGUAAGUGAAAGGUCUUUUAAAGUGGAUUCCAGGUCUCUGGUGAACUUGGAGAUAGGCUACUGUCUAAUUGUAUUUUUAAAAAUCAAAUUCUGAGAGCAGUAAGAUCAGGAAAGGGCACAAAAAUGGGUAAAGUCAUUGUCAAUGACUUCAACCAGUUUAGGUCUGUAUUGAUGGAAUUUGAUGAUUUGCUUAUCAAAAUAGACCUAUAAAUAUAAUCAGAAGUUAUUUUGCAUUCGAGAAAUGUAUCUGAUUUAACCGGAUUCCCAGUUUAAGCCCUUGGAAGAACUGGCCACAGGCAUAAAGUCAUGCAGUUGCAAUGCUUGAAUACUCCAGAAUGUGUUCCUUUUUCAUAUUUAUCACUGUGGUUUUAUAACAAUAUCUUGUUUCUUUUAGCUGACACAUGUGUUGGGAAGUGUGCAUCUCAGAAAAAAACUCCAUUUUUAAAACAAUAAUAUCCAGUGGUAGUAAGAACACAAAAUGAGCCCCAGACACUUGGGAUGAGAAGUGGAAUGGCCUUUCUGCUACUUGGCAAUAAUGUAUCAAAAGCCUUAACAGUAUGCAACACCUUUAACCCAGAAAUUCUGCUUCUUGAAAUGUGUUUUGAUAAAAACAUCAGCAAGGCACAGGAAGAUACACACUUUUGUGCAGAACCUCAUCACAGCAUUCCCUACGAUAUCAAAAUACUAAAAACCCAUCUAAAAAUAGAGAAUCCAUUAAACAUAUUGUUUCAUUGGGAUAAUGAAUAAUAUGGGAUAUAGCUAGCUGUUAAAAUUAUGUUUUAUAAGAAUUUGAUGAAAUGAUUUAAGAUAUAGUAUUGAGUAAAAAAUAAAUUAUAUGCAGUAUGUAUACA